rnacentral:rRNA from 1 species
GCCACGAGCAAUCCAAGCUACUAUAACGAUACCGCCGGCGACGAGCCGGAGGAAGGCGUGGACGACGUCAAAUCAUCACGCCCCUUAUGUCCAGGGCUACACACAUGCGACAAUGGUCGGAACAAUGAGUUGCCAAGCAGUAAUGCGGAGCUAAUCUCCAAAGCCGGCCUCAGUACAGAUCGAGGGUUGCAACCCACCCUCGUGAAGAUGGAGUUGCUAGUAAACGCAAGUCAGCUAUAUUGCGUUGAAUACGUUCCCGGGUAUU